rnacentral:rRNA from 1 species
GAGUUUGAUCCUGGCUCAGAUUGAACGCUGGCGGCAUGCCUUACACAUGCAAGUCGAACGGCAGCAUGAUCUAGCUUGCUAGAUUGAUGGCGAGUGGCGAACGGGUGAGUAAUACAUCGGAACGUGCCCUGUAGUGGGGGAUAACUAGUCGAAAGAUUAGCUAAUACCGCAUACGACCUGAGGGUGAAAGUGGGGGGACCGCAAGGCCUCAUGCUAUAGGAGCGGCCGAUGUCUGAUUAGCUAGUUGGUGGGGUAAAGGCCCACCAAGGCGACGAUCAGUAGCUGGUCUGAGAGGACGAUCAGCCACACUGGGACUGAGACACGGCCCAGACUCCUACGGGAGGCAGCAGUGGGGAAUUUUGGACAAUGGGCGAAAGCCUGAUCCAGCAAUGCCGCGUGUGUGAAGAAGG